UACGGGGGGGGGCAAGCGUUGUUCGGAAUUACUGGGCGUAAAGGGCUUGUAGGUGGCCAACUAAGUCAGACGUGAAAUCCCUCGGCUUAACCGGGGAACUGCGUCUGAUACUGGAUGGCUUGAGUGUGGGAGAGGGAUGCGGAAUUCCAGGUGUAGCGGUGAAAUGCGCAGAUAUCAGGAGGAACACCAGCGGCGAAGGCGGCGCUCUGGGCCGGUACUGACGCUGAGGCGCGAAAGCCGGGGGAGCAAACAGG
rnacentral:rRNA from 1 species